AUGAAUGCUUUGGUAAUCUGCGUUGAAUGCAAAUGUUUCAACGCUCUCCUUUAGGCAUUGUCUAACUGAACUUACCCAAUAAUGCGACAGAAUGUUAACUCUGUAAGUGCGCUCGAUUUCAUCGUCUGGUAAGUCCCAAAGCGUUUUUCCAUGUACAUAGCCCGCGUUGUUUAUCAACAGGGUAACCUGAAUAAAAUAUUAUCGAGUAACAUGAAAUUGUAAUUUGUUCCUUAGAAAGAAGACUAUAAUCCUACAGGGCCAACUUCGAUCUGCACCGUCUUCGCUAUCCUGUACACUUCUUCCCUCUUGACCUGCGGAUUGUGUUCAUAGAAGCGCUUGCAGUUAAUUUAUUUAUGGCAUUAAGCUCUAUUGGGAUUUACCAGUUCUAUUGAUAUCCCAGAUGACAACGUGUGCUCCAAGUUUGGCCAGCUUGAUGGCCAUCAGCUUUCCAAUUCCUCCAGCGCCUCCUGUUAUCAGAGCCACCUCUCCUUUGAUAGAUUUUGCACGAUAACGUCGUGGAAUGAAGGAAGUGGUUUUAUUUAAAAUAACGCGCUACUUGGAUGCUUUGCUUAUUAAAAGUCAUUACCUCUUUGAAGAUGAAGUUUUCUGAGGAUGUUUAACACUAGCGAAAAUGACUUCAGUUUGAAAAGCGGUUCCCGUCUCUCUGUGCUUGAGUGUCAGUGGAUCGACUGGUGUCUACGGGUGUACCUCCUCCUGGUGCGCCCGAAUUGUAAGACCCGCUGUGUUUUGAUGCGUAAUUUGAAACAUUGCUCAGGCACGUACCUAAAAGUCCUCUUGAAAGUUCCUCUGUGAAACUUGAAACGCCAUUCUCGUUGAUACGGUUCCUUGAUUUUGCACUGGAGCACGAUAUAAAUUUCUGUAGAAGCCUUUCACAAGAAAACGGCAAGAUUAGAAAGGUACAUAAGAAAUUUAGAAGAGCGUAGAAUGUAGAAGCAGUCUACCUAGAAUAAGGCAAUAGCACCACAAGAACCUAGUCUUUGUACACCGCUGGAUUUACUAUAGUUCCGUAUCCUACAAGAUGCACAGAACACGUGCUGCAGAUUCCUACUACCAUAUACAUAGAAGAUCUGUACCGAAUCUUAUGGUGAAAGUUUCCGUUACCUCUCUCUUCUUGCCCUACUGAUGUUGUCUUAUGAUUUUACGGUGCAAUGAAAUAUCAGCCCUAGGAUUGAACCGUAUACAAAGCAUGAAAUACAGGAAGAAUAGUUUCAUCUAUGUGGAGAGUUGAUCAACCGAGGUAUUUCCUUCUAUGAUUUUCAGAUUGAAUUCAUAUUUGUAGACACAUUCCUUUAGAGAAGGAAUAGAAGAUUCGUCGACGGUUCAUAUUCCGUAAUUUUCUAAAUUUUCCAUAAUAUAGAAAUUCAUUACUAUGAGUAUCCACUCUGUGGUGGUCAUCGUAACAUCGAGUAACAGGAUAAUGUAUUGCAGGAAAUUACGCGAGGUCAUUGAUUUGCGAUCCAUCAGUCCUUGUUAUUUUUCUUCUAAUAGAAAGUUACGAGAUCCAAGUGAAUCCUCGAAUUACGUGCGAGCAAUACAAAUGGUGUAUUAUACUCCUUCGGCUUACACAAUUCUGAUGGAAAUUCGCUUCGAUCCUUGAUACGUCCAUGUUCGAAGGAGCAUUGGAAAUAUAGAGAAUGACAAUGUAGCGUGCCUUCAUUUGAGAGAAUCAUUCGCACAAUUUGUACAAACGGUUCUCAUAGUGCAAACAAUGAAAGAUAGCAGGAUUCAUCCUAUGGCUGGUGAAAGGAUGACGUUCAAGAUCUAGGCCACUAAUACUCCUUUUCUACAAACAACGAGGAAGAUAUGAAUUGUACAGAUCAAGAAGGGAGAAUGACUUGUCAGUUUUAGAUUCUGUUUCUUAAAAUUGUUAAGUCAGAAGUUUGUUGAAGUUACACAUUUUCAAAGCAGUUCCUAUUGUCAUCAGCUUUGUGCUGUUAACAUUCCUUCGGCUGAAAAGAUAUUUCGGCUGAAAGACCUUCGUCUUUGUCGAUCGUGACGAGGAAUGAAUCAUUUUUUGGUACUGAAAGACAGACAGAUUACAAUGACAAAGUCACGCGUUUGUUCAUUGUCAAUGCAAUACGUUACUUCUCGUAAUGAGCCAUGCUUGAAUUAAUGAAUAAAUGUAAGGUAAACGACGUCGUAAACAAUAGUAAACUUUAUUGUGUGUCCUUUCAAGUCAGUGGGACGAAUAAAGUUUUUUUAUCGUUUACGGUGUUCAAGGAUCCGCGUCCAUAUUGCAGUGGACGUACAAAUAAAUUUUGCAAAGAUAAUUGCAGUUCUUUACAAAAUUAAAUAAAAAGAAUAAUUUAAAAGCGUUAAGUUCAUCGCUUUAAGAACUAAUAAAAACGUCGAGUUAUUUUCUGCUCGAAAUAAAUAUUAAAAACUGCGUCAUAGUAUUUUGAUAAAAAUUAUAUGUUUAUAAUGAUAAGAAACGAAAACACUUUGAUAACAUGUUUACUGAAUUCAAAUUUUAAUUUCAAACUUCGAAUCGAUUCGAUAUCCUGUAAAGAGUUGCCAUCUGUCGAAGAAACAUUGGUAAUGCAGACAUACCGACGCGGACAUUUAAUCCCUCUUGAAAGCCAGGCGGUAAUUAACGUAAAAUUGUUGCUUUUAAAUUUGAAAUCUUAUUCUUAACAGCGAUGAGAUCAUUUGUGGAUGAGUUUUUUUACGUUCAAAACGAAGAGUUGUUUUAAAUCAGGAAUACAUUCAAAUUCAAAACAGGAAAAAUCGUAAAAAAAUCAUUGAACAUGUUAUUGAAAUGACGAACGGUAAAUUUAUUAAGGUCGAAGAUAUCAGAGAUUGAACGAUAGACGCUGAAAUUGAACACGUUCAUAGAAUAUGUAGAAAUCUUUGAAGGCAAAAGAGUGCUCCCUUAGAGUGUUAAUAUUUGUACGUUUUUGUGUUUGCACAUUUAGUAAUCGUCUAGUGGAGCAAAAAGCCAUUUCGAUGACGCUCAUCCAGGUCCAUUCCACUCAGGUUUACCCAAUGCGAAUUUCAGUGAAAGUACAUACUGACAAUAAUUUCGUAAUUUUUAU